AAGAAAUAAGAGCUCCUGAGACCCUGCUGGAUACAAAUGCCCUGUACGACCUAAGGGCCUCCACAGCAGGAACAAAAGGAAUUUUGUCUGAGAUUUUAGCAGAAAAGUAAUUUUUGAAAUCUAUUCUUGGAUUUAGACGUUUAUUGGAUUUCAAAGCUUCUUGCUGCCCAGGAGCUUGUGAAUACGGUCAAAGGUCCAUGAAAUUUCCAAAGUGGUACCACAGCAGAUGAACCUGAAUGCAAACUGGAGGGACCAACAGAGUCCAGCCUAUAGACAUAAAUCCUUAACUACACCUAGAUCUCACUGUCUUUUCCAAUGGUCAAAAGAGGGGCUCUUGAAAUGGCUCCAUUGUUUUAUAGAAACAAGGUCUUCCUAAGAAGUCUUUUUCUCCUAUCUUUUUCUUACCCAAAAUAAAGGAAUGGCCCAAAACCUCAAGCCAAGCUUACCAGCUAUAAACAACUUGGUGGUCAGCAGCCAAAAGAAGAGUGGACAUGCCAUGGUCAUGUGGCACGUACCCUAUACAAGCUUCACAGAGAAGAAUGGAAGCACUUGAUUGUAAGACAGAGGGUGAGAUGUGAGAGGAAUAUUAACCUUCACUUUCCACAGGCAUUUUUUUCUGCAAAUGGCACCAGCUUUUGGACUUAAAAUUUUAUUCCAAAUACUAUUUAGAUGCAUCAGGGCCCUCAAAAUAUGGAUUUCAAGUUGGAGACAUCAAAGUGCAUUAUUUACUAAAACCACUGCAGCUUUUUUCCCCUCUCCUUUCACAAGAUGCUAUUGUAAAUUCAGGCUGCUUUAAUCUCUGUGAUUAAAAAAAAAAAGGAAGAAAGAAAAAAAAAGUGCUGCUUGAAGAGGAACUGAACUCACAAUCUGGGAGCUAGAAAGUAAAUAUUACCCAGAGAGUACCUCACUUUAAUUACUGGCCUGAACAUUGGUUUCAAUUUACAUGUAUUUUAAUUAGCCACAGAAGGGUUCACCUAUUACUCUCUGAAUACAAAACUUAAAAAGCAAACAGAAAAUAGGGAAAGAAAGGCUUAUUUAAGGGCCUCCAAGGAUUAAUCUUUGCAUUCUUCUCAUUUUUUCCCCGAAUUUGGGGAUAAAAUUUGUCGCAGGGAAUUUGAUCUUAGGGAAACAUUGAGUUUGGUUUGUGAACACAAGCUACUUCUGAACACUAUUUUAGCAAACAGAAUUUUAGAAGCAUAAGGCUCUAGCAGAGGGCUAUACAGAAUUUUGCAUAAACUAAAUAACAACCGUUUCCUCCUGAAAUGCAGGAAAUCAAGCUGCACGGGUAUGUUUGCUGAUUGGGUGAGUGAAUGAGUGAGUCAAUCAGUGAAAACUCCAGGCUCCUUUACUCUUCCUACCUUUCUUUAACAUCCUUAAACUUUUAUUUGAAUUUUUUAAAGUUUGUAAAUUGUUUUGCUUGUCCAUCUUGGACUGUCAGUUUCUGCCACCAAAAAAAAAAAGGAGUAAAAUUAAUUUUAAUUGACUUUAAUUUCAAAAAUGUGUCACACCAGAUUUCUAAAAAGUUGCAUUCUCAAAACAACUAGGCAUUAACAACUAGGCUUCAAGAAGCCUUAGAAUAUCUGUAACUAGAGAAAGAUGUGUGGCUGACUGAUUUACCAAGGACUAACAAUGACACUUGGGGAUAAAGUAUUUCUGGAUUAUGAAGACAUAACCUUUUAUUAAGUCUUGAGCCCCUUACUCCAACUCCACCAACCAGCCAACAGUUAUUCAAGCAGGUCCAACUGAGUUUCUGCACUGGGCGAGGAACUCUGUUAAAUGCUUUGGGGGAUAAAAAGAGGCCCAGUGGUGUGGUGGCUCACACCUGUAAUCCCAGCACUUUGGGAGGCCAAGGCAGGUGGAUCACUUGAGCCCAGGAGUUCAACACCAGCCUGGGCAACAUGGCAGAACCCCAUCUCCACAAAAAGUACAAAAAUUAGCCAGGCAUCGUGGUACAUGCCUGAAGGAGCUACUAGGGAGGCUCAGGUGGGAGGAUCACUUGAGCCCACGAGGUCAAGGUUGCAGUGAGCUGUGAACGUGCCAUUGCACUCCAGCCUGGGUGACAGAGCAAGACCCUGUCUCCAAAAAAAAAAAAAAAAAAGAGGUUGAGUACAUGGUUGUUAAGAAGUUAAGAAGUUUGUUAAGGGAGGUAGGACCUCUACGGACCUGUGGCAAGCACUUGUUCCAAGUUCUAAGGCACAGGAGACCACUUCUAAGUCGGGGGACAAUUAUGGGCUCUGCAGAAACGAUAAUAGUCAAUCUGUGAGGACUGAGCAAGAAUCAAUGGAGAGGCAUAAUACAUGCACUGUCCCCAAGCCAAAAGCCUGGUAUAUAUUUAGAAUAAUCAGUACAGGACUAGUUUUGCCGAGUGUCUGCUGUGGCCAGAGUGUGGAACAGAAAGGGGAUCUUGCAGGUCAAAGCCGUGUACCCAAGAAUGGAUAAUAUGGUCAGCCUGUGAUCUCAGAAUCUGUGUGGGAGUGAGAGGAGAAAAGGAAAGGAGUGACAAUGGCCUGUAAUGAGAGUUCAAAAGGAGACUUCUAUAGCCUAAGAUAGAGAUAAUGUCACUCUAAGUGUCUCUGGCAGGAGCCAAGAAAGAGAAAGAAGAAACAUAGCCAAUUAUUAAGCUGUUGGGCUCUAGAGCUUACCCAGCCUUGCCCUAUUGGCCUGGAAUGAGUUUACUGGGUGCUCCGUAAACUGCUACUGCAGUGGCUCUCACCCAGUAGCAUCUUAAAGGUGCUGCUCUGCUUCUGAUAGUUAUGCCAACAAUGACAUAGUAGAAGGCACUGGCUGCUGCUUCUCAGAUGGCCACAACCCCAAGACAGCAUGUUAGGAACCACUUACCUAUCAAUCCCAAAGUCCUUAGGUCUUCAGCAAAGCUUGGACCACUUGGCAAAGUCUUCUGUCUCCAGAGGAAUGAUGGGAAAACUAUGGGACAAAAGUCAGGAGAGUGGUGCUGGCUGAUCCUGGCCUGGACAUUGACUCCCUGGGGACUUUGGUGCUCUCUCGUGCUCUCUCUGUCUCCAGUGAUAAGCUGACCAGAUGCCUUGAAUUAAGUACAGUAUGCAGCAAUGCCAGCCCUGGACUUUUCCCCAACCUAUCACCCAACCCACUUACCUGGAGCCAAGGGUCACCAACAUCUCUAAUAGAAUCCAACUGUGGAAUAGAAAAACUAUUUCGUCUAAGAAGUGGAUCCUAGCUGUCAAAUAAAAAAUCGCUGUUGAAUGCUGUAAAGUACAUUUUUACACCCAUGUACAAUUUAGAGCUUAGGAACUCAUGGAAAAAAAUAGAGUUAACACGGAUAAAGGGAUUUUAAAAGGCGAGAGAGGGAAGAGUUUCUUAAGGAGUCUCCAAUGACAAAAAUGUGUUCAUUUUCUGAGACCUCCAGAAUGAAUUACUAAGGUAUCCUCAAACAAAAGUGGUUUUGCUAUUCAGAAAUUCAUAUGUUCUAAAUAGAG
rnacentral:lncRNA from 1 species